CUUAAAGGGAAACGACUUUGGACUCACGUAGGCAUAGGAGAACGAAACUUCUGUACAUUUUAAUCUGAAUAAUUCUUCAGGAUUUAAAAUUAAUUGGCUCUGGCUUGGUUGGACCGUACUCGGAUCUCGCCACCUCUGCGUUUCCCGAGUCACUGGCGAAGAGGUCCCAGUUCCUCUGGGAAUCGUCCUGUAUGCAACAUCUUCACAAGAGUGGCAGGCAGUUGAAUCUCUGGCCUUCGUGGGACCACUGGACAUCUGGCAGAGAACCAGGAAACCACGGUUCCCUUCUGUGAGUCCCUCAGCCGGAAAACUACAAGAAUGAAAAAAAUGCAUGGCAUACAUCACCAAGAAUCAAAGGUUGUGCCUGGCAGUGUAAUUGACUAUGUAAUAAAGAGAGAAGCUUUGCUAGCUCCUCAUGCAGCUGCUGUCUACAGACCCCCUGGACUGCCUGGGGAAGUGAGUCGGAGCUCCUGCAGCAGAGGGGUGGAACAGCUACACGAAGAUCCGAAGGUGGCCAAAAAUAACAGCGCUUUCCAGAUGAGGGAGCCAGUUGUCCAGCACAGUGUCAUGGGACAGUGGGCCCUGGUGCCACAAUGCCCGGCAUCUCCACCAGAUACAGCUUUGAGAUCUUCAUGAUGAAGCUUGCUCCAAUCCAAGGGCUGUCAGGUGGGGUUUGCGGUUCAGCUGCUAACCUUUCUUUGAUCCAAAUCCUGUCUUCACUGGCUUCAAGAAUCCUGUCUUCACUGGCUUCAAAACUGGGAUGAAGGAGGCUCCUUAGUGGAGAGCAAAGCAAAGAGAAACUCAAAUUGGAUCCAUAUUAAAGAAGAGAAGGAUGGAUUUGUUUAGACAACACAAACCUAGGAAGGGUUUGAGAGGUGAAACAAACUGGGUUAUGGAUGAACGGGGGCAAUUGGAAUGUAGAAUUGAAGCAGUAAUUAACAUCUUGGUUUCAUCUGGGUGUUUGGCAUCAUGUUCAGAAAUGUGAAAAAUAAAAUUCAGCACCGUUAUUACUGAAUUAGAUAAAAUGAUUGUAUUUAAUUAAUCCGUAAAUAUUAACUAAUUAUUCUGUUUACCAUAACAUGUAAUGAAUAUAAUUCUCCACCAGGCAAAUAAAGAAAGAAAGAUGUAAUUAGGUGAUUUAAGCAUAAAAAAAAAAAAAAA
rnacentral:lncRNA from 1 species